GUCGCAAGACCAAAGAGGGGGACCUUCGGGCCUCUUGCCAUCAGAUGUGCCCAGAUGGGAUUAGCUUGUUGGUGAGGUAACGGCUCACCAAGGCGACGAUCCCUAGCUGGUCUGAGAGGAUGACCAGCCACACUGGAACUGAGACACGGUCCAGACUCCUACGGGAGGCAGCAGUGGGGAAUAUUGCACAAUGGGCGCAAGCCUGAUGCAGCCAUGCCGCGUGUAUGAAGAAGGCCUUCGGGUUGUAAAGUACUUUCAGCGGGGAGGAAGGUGUUGUGGUUAAUAACCGCAGCAAUUGACGUUACCCGCAGAAGAAGCACCGGCUAACUCCGUGCCAGCAGCCGCGGUAAUACGGAGGGUGCAAGCGUUAAUCGGAAUUACUGGGCGUAAAGCGCACGCAGGCGGUCUGUCAAGUCGGAUGUGAAAUCCCCGGGCUCAACCUGGGAACUGCAUUCGAAACUGGCAGGCUUGAGUCUUGUAGAGGGGGGUAGAAUUCCAGGUGUAGCGGUGAAAUGCGUAGAGAUCUGGAGGAAUACCGGUGGCGAAGGCGGCCCCCUGGACAAAGACUGACGCUCAGGUGCGAAAGCGUGGGGAGCAAACAGGAUUAGAUACCCUGGUAGUCCACGCCGUAAACGAUGUCUACUUGGAGGUUGUGCCCUUGAGGCGUGGCUUCCGGAGCUAACGCGUUAAGUAGACCGCCUGGGGAGUACGGCCGCAAGGUUAAAACUCAAAUGAAUUGACGGGGGCCCGCACAAGCGGUGGAGCAUGUGGUUUAAUUCGAUGCAACGCGAAGAACCUUACCUGGUCUUGACAUCCACGGAAGUUUUCAGAGAUGGAUUGGUGCCUUCGGGAACCGUGAGACAGGUGCUGCAUGGCUGUCGUCAGCUCGUGUUGUGAAAUGUUGGGUUAAGUCCCGCAACGAGCGCAACCCUUAUCCUUUGUUGCCAGCGGUCCGGCCGGGAACUCAAAGGAGACUGCCAGUGAUAAACUGGAGGAAGGUGGGGAUGACGUCAAGUCAUCAUGGCCCUUACGACCAGGGCUACACACGUGCUACAAUGGCGCAUACAAAGAGAAGCGACCUCGCGAGAGCAAGCGGACCUCAUAAAGUGCGUCGUAGUCCGGAUUGGAGUCUGCAACUCGACUCCAUGAAGUCGGAAUCGCUAGUAAUCGUGGAUCAGAAUGCCACGGUGAAUACGUUCCCGGGCCUUGUACACACCGCCCGUCACACCAUGGGAGUGGGUUGCAAAAGAAGUAGGUAGCUUAACCUUCGGGAGGGCGCUUACCACUUUGUGAUUCAUGACUGGGGUGAAGUCGUAACAAGGUAACCGUAGGGGAACCUGCGGUUGGAUCACCUCCUUACCUUAAAGAA
rnacentral:rRNA from 1 species